ensembl:snoRNA
AUCCUUUUGUGGUUCAUAAGUGUGAUGAUUGGGUUUACACACCACUGGGUGAAAUGUGCCUUCCUCAAACUGUGUUAUGAUGUUGGCACAUGGGAACUUAUA